rnacentral:ncRNA from 2 species
ACCUUAUCAAGAGCGACGGAGGGAAUAGGCCCUGUGAAGUCCGGCAACCGGUAUAAAGUACACGGUGCCAAGUCCUACGGAAUAAUAUAUUCUGGUAGAUGAGGA